rnacentral:rRNA from 1 species
AUUAGGCAUGCAAGUCGAGCGAUCUUUAAUCGAUUCAUGCAAGCCGUAAGGCAUGCAUGAGUUGGUUCUUCGAUAGCGGCAAAAGGGUGAGUAACACGUGAGUAAUCUGCCCACGAAUUUAGGAUAGCUUCGCGAAAGCGGGGGUAAUACUAAAUAAGACCACGAGUUAUAAGAUUUGUGGUAAAAGAUGUUCGUAAGAAUAUCGUUUGUGGAUGAGCUCGCGUCCUAUCAGCUUGUUGGCGGGGUAAUGGCCCACCAAGGCAUUUGACGGGUAGCUGGUCUGAGAGGAUGGUCAGCCACACUGGGACUGAGACACUGCCCAGACUCCUACGGGAGGCUGCAGUCGAGAAUCUUUAGCAAUGGGCGAAAGCCUGACUAUGCGACGCCGCGUGAGGGAUGAAGUCCUUCGGGACGUAAACCUCUUUCGAUCGGGAAGAAAUUCCUCGUAAGAGGAGCUGACGGUACCGAGAGAAGAAGCCACGGCUAACUCCGUGCCAGCAGCCGCGGUAAUACGGAGGUGGCAAGCGUUACUCGGAUUUAUUGGGUGUAAAGGGCAGGUAGGCGUUUUAAUAAGUUUCAGGUGAAAUCCUUGAGCUUAACUCAAGAACUGCCUGAAAUACUGUUAGAAUUGAGUGUGAAAGAGGAGAAUGGAAUUCCCGGUGUAAGGGUGAAAUCUGUAGAUAUCGGGAAGAACACCAGUGGCGUAGGCGGUUCUCUGGUCCACAACUGACGCUGAGCUGCGAAAGCUAGGGUAGCAAACAGAAUUAGAUACUCUGGUAGUCCUAGCUGUAAACGAUGAGCACUAGGUGUCGGUCGAAAGAUCGGUGUCGUAAGAUAACUCGUUAAGUGCUCCACCUGGGGACUACGGCCGCAAGGCUAAAACUCAAAGGAAUUGACGGGGGCCCGCACAAGCGGUGGAACAUGUGGUUCAAUCCGACGCUACGCGUAGAACCUCACCAGGGCUUGACAUGUAGGAAGUAGUGAACUGAAAGGGGAACCACCUGUUAAGUCAGGAGCCUACACAGGUGCUGCAUGGCUGUCGUCAGCUCGUGCCGUGAGGUGUUGGGUUAAGUCCCGCAACGAGCGCAACCAUCAUUUCUAGUUGCCACUUUUGCGACCGCAAGGUUAAGAGAAGCACUCUAGAGAGACUGCCCCGGAUAACGGGGAGGAAGGUGGAGAUGACGUCAAGUCCGUAUGGCCUUUAUGCCCUGGGCUACACACGUGUUACAAUGGGAUGUACAAAGCGUUGCUAAACCGCGAGGUUGAGCUAAUCGCAAAAAGUAUCCCUCAGUUCGGAUUGGAGUCUGCAAUUCGACUCCAUGAAGUCGGAAUCGCUAGUAAUGGCGGAUCAGCACGCCGCCGUGAAUACGUUCCCGGGCCUUGUACACACCGCCCGUCAAGCGAUGGGAGCCGGGGGUACCCGAACUUUGACUCUGUUGAAGGAAGGUAAAACUGGUAACUGGCGCUAAGUCGUAACAAGGUA